rnacentral:rRNA from 1 species
AUACGGAGGGGGCUAGCGUUGUUCGGAAUUACUAGGCGUAAAGCGCGCGUAGGCGGGUUGGCAAGUUGAAGGUGAAAUCCCAGGGCUCAACCCUGGAACUGCCUCCAAAACUGCCAGUCUUGAGUUCGGAAGAGGUGAGUGGAAUUCCUAGUGUAGAGGUGAAAUUCGUAGAUAUUAGGAAGAACACCAGUGGCGAAGGCGACUCACUGGUCCGAUACUGACGCUGAGGUGCGAAAGCGUGGGGAGCAAACAGGAUUAGAUACCCCGGUAGUCC